GGGGAUGACAGGCUUCGACGGGGAAGGCUGGUCCUGGACUGCAAGCCGAGCACGCUUUACACCUCGUAAAACUGGAAGCACACAAGAAGUGCCAACCGCACUCCUAACUACAGCGCUCUUCCGUUGGCUGCGUAAGCUAACCUAAAGCGCCGGUCGCCAAGAAGGUGACCACGUCCACCUCAACUGCUCGUUGGCCGGAAGAGAUGUGGGCGUCAUAAUAGCCAACGUGCGCCUCCGCGACACCGAUAGCGGCGGCUAAGCGACUCUUUCGGGAGUCAUCGGUUAGCUGAGGUCCGACCCUGUUCGCCGGGGCCGCUUCAGUGAAAAUCAAGUAGGCGGACUAAGCUUGUAGACGUGCAGCAGAUCGAAUUUUUCGGACGUGGGUUCGAUUCCCACCAUCUCCACUC
rnacentral:tmRNA from 1 species